AUGGAUUUUAAAACUAAAAGUUGCAUUAUUGACUAAACGGUGAUUCGCUUUCCCUUGAUGGAUUAGUAUUGAAAGAAAACGUAAAAAUUUUAAUCUAUAAAUUGUUUUCUCGUUUUCUACACAAAAUUAUUCAAAUGGAUUUUAAAUCGUUACACUGCACAAAAUUUAAUCAAACGUAUUUUUAACUUAAAAAGUUUCCCCUGACUUGAAAAUCGAUUUAUUCUUUGCAUAUUAAGGAGGAUUAUAAACAUUUUUCAUGGCGUAAAUUUCAGUUAAUACACCAUAGCACGAAGAGAGAUUCGAGGGCCAUGCAACGUUUCCUUCACAAUGAGCUGUUUUAUCAAUGGCCGCCAUUUAUAACAUAAAUCGCGCAAAACAUUCCCCUAAAUUGGCAAGAAAUGGUGAAGGAAUCUUCGCCGGUACUUAACCCAGAACACCUUCUCGGAUCCCUUUUCGGGGCAGAAAGAUUCGCAACGAUCCUGAUGAUGACUCUUCUUGCUCCAGAAUCUUGAUAAAGAAUUCUACUUUUCCUGAAAAAAAGACAUCUCUGGAAUCUCGAGAUUCAAUUCGAUCAAUUACGAUUUGUGUUGCGCGAAUGAUCAAUUCGAAAAUUGGAAAAAAGAAGUGAAUUUUGUAUGCAUCAGUUCUAGAGAUUAAAACAAAUACAAAAAUAUCAAAGUCUCAAUAGUCUGAUAUUUUUAUACAUUAAUUUUACACAUGUUAGAAUCGACUCUCUAAAUCCACAAACACUUUCAAAAGAAUUCUUUGAAAACCAAGAAUUACACAUUACAAAAUCUACUAAUCAACACAUUUCCUUUCACACAAUAACAAUAAAGAUUUAAAAAAAAAAAAA